UACCAAAUCUUGACAUCCUUUGACAACUCUAGAGAUAGAGCUUUCCCCUUCGGGGGACAAAGUGACAGGUGGUGCAUGGUUGUCGUCAGCUCGUGUCGUGAGAUGUUGGGUUAAGUCCCGCAACGAGCGCAACCCUUAAGCUUAGUUGCCAUCAUUAAGUUGGGCACUCUAAGUUGACUGCCGGUGACAAACCGGAGGAAGGUGGGGAUGACGUCAAAUCAUCAUGCCCCUUAUGAUUUGGGCUACACACGUGCUACAAUGGACAAUACAAAGGGCAGCGAAACCGUGAGGUCAAGCAAAUCCCAUAAAGUUGUUCUCAGUUCGGAUUGU
rnacentral:rRNA from 1 species